GACGAACGCUGGCGGCGUACUUAACACAUGCAAGUCGUACGGUAAGGCCCUUUCGGGGGUACACGAGUGGCGAACGGGUGAGUAACACGUGAGUAACCUGCCCACAACUUCGGGAUAACGCUAGGAAACUGGUGCUAAUACUGGAUAUGUGCUCCUGCUGCAUGGUGGGGGUUGGAAAGCUCCGGCGGUUUUGGAUGGACUCGCGGCCUAUCAGCUUGUUGGUGGGGUAGUGGCCUACCAAGGCGGCGACGGGUAGCCGGCCUGAGAGGGUGACCGGCCACAUUGGGACUGAGAUACGGCCCAGACUCCUACGGGAGGCAGCAGUGGGGAAUAUUGCACAAUGGGCGCAAGCCUGAUGCAGCAACGCCGCGUGCGGGAUGACGGCCUUCGGGUUGUAAACCGCUUUCAGCAGGGACGAAGCUUGUUGUGACGGUACCUGCAGAAGAAGCACCGGCUAACUACGUG
rnacentral:rRNA from 1 species